GACGAACGCUGGCGGCGUGCUUAACACAUGCAAGUCGAACGAAGAGCGAUGGAAGCUUGCUUCUAUCAAUCUUAGUGGCGAACGGGUGAGUAACGCGUAAUCAACCUGCCCUUCAGAGGGGGACAACAGUUGGAAGCGACUGCUAAUACCGCAUACGAUCUAAUCUCGGCAUCGAGGAUAGAUGAAAGGUGGCCUCUACAUGUAAGCUAUCACUGAAGGAGGGGAUUGCGUCUGAUUAGCUAGUUGGAGGGGUAACGGCCCACCAAGGCGAUGAUCAGUAGCCGGUCUGAGAGGAUGAACGGCCACAUUGGGACUGAGACACGGCCCAGACUCCUACGGGAGGCAGCAGUGGGGAAUCUUCCGCAAUGGACGAAAGUCUGACGGGGCAACGCCGCGUGAGUGAUGACGGCCUUCGGGUUGUAAGGCUCUGUUAAUCGGGACGAAAGGCCUUCUUGCGAAUAGUGAGAAGGAUUGACGGUACCGGAAUAGAAAGCCACGGCUAACUACGUG
rnacentral:rRNA from 1 species